rnacentral:hammerhead_ribozyme from 1 species
AUCCAAAUGAUGAGUCCCAAAGAGGGCGAACCACGCGUCCUGGAU